CUCUGGAAGAUGUCAGUCUUCCCAGCAAAGACAUUAACAGUGAUUUCUGUUUUUUCCGUCUCUGUUCUUAUCUCAAUAUGUUUGUCCUAUUUCUUGGUUAUUCUAUGUCUUUUCUGUUAGACUGUAAGUUCUGUGAUUUUUAUGUAUUUUACAUACCUAGUAUUAAAUGAAUUCUUAUAGAAGGAAUGCACAAUUGUAGGGAAAGAGUUUAACAGAAGUAAACUUUAUUAGAGACUCCAUCUGUCCAGAUGCAAAAUAGACUGCCUCUAAAUUACUGAACUUGUGAUCACUUGACAUUUUUAGCCAAAGGAUGAAUGACCAUCUGUCAGUGAUGAGGAUGUUCCAGAAGGGUUUACACAAAUAGUGGAAUGAAAUGUUGAUGGUCUCUAAGGUCUUUUCUGACCUUUAUAUUGUGUGACUUACAAAUGAACUAUAAUACAACUUUUUUAAAGUUAGAAAUGCCAUUAUUUCACAGAUAAUUAUUCUGAAAUACUACAGGAUGAGACCCAUUGAGAGGAUUGCGCAUUAAAUAAUAAUCAAUGAUUGAGUAAAACAGUGACGUUGAGAUGAUUUUCUUUAUUUUUCUUCCUUUUCCAGAUAAGGAUUUGAAGACACACAUUGAUUAGUUGAGGCAUUAAAUUGAAGUUUGGUCUAGAUUAAGAUUUAGAGCUCAAGAUUCAAAAAGCUUCCUUUGCAUGUUACAUGGUGAAACCUUCAAUUUCUUAAGCCAUAAGAAAAGUAGGUCAAAUAGUGAGGCUCCAGACCACCCAGCUACUCUGAACUGGAUGCCAUUUGCAUGAACAACUAACAAUGGGCAUUCUGUGUUUACACUCUGCCUUGACUUCAGUCCUCAAGGUCCAGAACAAAUGCCCCCAAGUCUGGCUCUUAAGAUAUCACAGUUAUAUAAUGAGACAUUUGGCAUUUGAAAAUUAAAGAUGCAAAAGGCUUAAAUACUUACACAUUUUUGAAAAUAGAGUAUGCUUUCUCUCUUAAUUAAACAAAACUAAAGUCACGGCCCAGGACACAUUAAGAUUUGUCCAGAAUCUCCUGUUGUUGCUUCGGCUUUAGCUCUUCGAAGAAAGAUAAGAGUAUUCAACUUGUAACAGUGUAAGUACACAAUUAACAGAUUAUAAAUGAAGAUCUAAUGUGAUAUAAUUUAAAAUUUCUAUAAUUCAAUCAAAACUUCCCUAUCCUACCCAGUUGCUUCACAAUAUGCCCUCUUUCACCAUACUUUGCACAUUCUAACUAUUUCAACCCAGGUGUUUGUUCAUGGUGUACACUUACUUAAAUUCU
rnacentral:lncRNA from 9 species